rnacentral:rRNA from 1 species
GCCUUUUGGGUGUGANUUUGUGGAGCGUGAGGAGUUAAACGCCUUCAUGCCUGCAUAUUCNUGCACUUUGGGUGUACUUGCCCGUAUGGUUGGUUAACAUCAAUUUUGGUGGUCAUAAAAUGACUGGAGGAAUGUAGCUUCGAUCUUGUAUUGAAGUGUUAUAGCCUUCGGUAGAUGUGAUGAUCGAGAUUGAGGAUUGCAACGGAUACCCUUCGGGGCUACCUGUCUGAUCUCUGAUCAUUGCUCUGGUGCCGAAAGCUUGCUUACGGUUAUCAAAGUCGAUGGUCAAUAGGUUAGAACGGGUUAAAUUCGUUAAGGAUGUUGACGUA